rnacentral:rRNA from 1 species
AAGCGGGGGAUCGUCGGACUUUGCGCUAGUAGAUGAGCCUGAGUCGGAUUAGCUUGUUGGUGGGGGAAAGGCCUACCCCGGCCACGAUCUGUAUCGGGUCUGAGAGGAAGAGCCGCCACACUGGGACUGAAACAGGGCCCAGACCCCUACGGGAGGCAGCAGUGGGGAAUAUUGGACAAUGGGGGGAACCCUGAUCCAGCCCUGCCGCGUGUGUGAGGAAGGCCUUAGGGUUGUGAAGGACUUUAACCUAGGAGGAGGCUACUUUAGUUAAUACCUAGAGAUAGUGGACGUUACUCUCAGAAUAAGCACCGGCUAACUCUGUGCCAGCCCCCGCGGUAAUACAGAGGGUGCGACCGUUAAUCGCAUUUACUGUACGUAAAGCGUGCGUAGGCGGCUUAUUAAGUCAGAUGUGAAGUCCCCGAGCUUAACUUGGGAAUUGCAUUCGAUACUGGGGAGCUAGACUAUGGAAGAGGAUAGGAUAGUUCCAGGUGUAGCGGUGAAAUGCGUAGAGAUCUGAGAGGAAUACGGAUGGCUAAGUGCAACCAUC